GUUAAAAUAUCAGUUCCCGUACGAUCCCCGAAGUUAAGCAAGUUCGAGCCUGUUCAGCACCUAGAUGGGUGACCGCUUGGGAAUGCCAGGUGCUA